CGGCCGGUGGACUGGGGAGCAAUCCACAGGCAACCCGUAAAAAAACGAAAGCAAAACUGAGAGUAGUAUAUUGUAAAUGCAUGAUAUGUCACAGAAGUUUUUAUUUUCUUGUUCAUUUAUAUUAUAUUGUGUUUGGAUUUACUUUGUAUAUCAUCGUAACCCAAAACAGAAAUUUCCCCUUUUUGUACACAUCUUAGCACAACGUUGGGUUUCCUGUGGUAAUUCUGUCAAUUUGAAAAUGGCGGCCACUACAACAAAAGUUUUCUUCAUCACAAGCGUGUGACAAACAUGUAAUGCCCGGCUGCAUAAUGCCAUACAGAUUGAGAGAAGUUCUUCCAGCAUUGCUGUUUGCAGUAUUAGUGCUAAUAUCAUGGGUGUUUGUCCUGUAUGCUGGCUACCAUGUCACCUUGAAAAUGGUCGCAUGACUAACAAAGUCACCUUAAAAAUGGUCGCAUGAGUAACAAAGUCACCUUGAAAAUGGUCGCAUGAGCUAGUGCUAAUAGCAAGGGUCACUGUGCCGGCUAUUAAGUCACUUUGAGGGUGAUGAUGUUGGGUUUUGGUGUCACAAGCAAGGAAAAUACUGUUAUACCCUAUGGGGCCAUGUAAUUGCACUACAUAUUGCAAAGGUUAUUAAACGAACAAUGUCUUAAACCUUGGAACACAACAAAUACUGGAUUUCCAACAAUAAGAUGAUACUAUCACAAGAUAUUGCUUGCAGCUAUAAUACAGCAAAUAAAUUACCAGUCUCACUUCUUGACUAGCUUCCCUAAUAGUCAGGUAGUUAAGGCAUGUACCAUGAAGCACCAAGCAUUGAAGAAGUUGUCGGGAAUGUCCAGUAAGACUGUCACCUCUUUGAAGGGUAAAAAGGGGCAAAAGCAUUAUGCAGUAAUAGAAAAACUUAAAACUUGUAUCAUCUCGUAAGUGGAAGUAAGGUUUCCUAGAUUGUAAAUACAUUGCCAUCUCACCGCUGUGAACAAGGUACAAUCCUGGUUCUGAUUUGGGCAUUUUUUUUUCUGAGUUGAGAAAUUCGAAUUCUGUGUUACAAAUGAGUUGGUCACUAAGUCAAACUGCCCAUCUCUUCAAGCUGCUCUACUCUUACCUGUGCGGAAAGUUAAAGAACAACUUGGAGCGUUAUAGAUCCUUUGAAUAGACACAGCUAGGUACCAACUCCACCAGAAGAACUUCACAACACACACACAGGAGGUGGGGUGCACUUGAUAAAGAGUCUGGCCCAGUUGUACCUUCUGAAAAAAUGUACCGCUGUGCGAAAAAAAUGAAUUGAAAUAAAUGUUUCAAUAUUUUUGAAA